UACGAAGGUGGCAAGCGUUGUUCGGAUUUACUGGGCGUACAGGGAGCGUAGGCGGUUCGGUAAGCCCUCUGUGAAAUCUCCAGGCUUAACCUGGAACAGUCGGAGGGGACUGCUGGGCUAGAGGACGGGAGAGGAGCGCGGAAUUCCAGGUGUAGCGGUGAAAUGCGUAGAUAUCUGGAGGAACACCGGUGGCGAAGGCGGCAUCCUGGACCAACACUGACGCUGAGGCGCGAAAGCUAGGGGAGCAAACGGG
rnacentral:rRNA from 1 species